CCCUGGUGGCUCCGAUGGUAAAGAAUCUGCCUGCAAUGCAGGAGACCCAGGUUCGAGUCCUGGGUCAGGAA
rnacentral:tRNA from 1 species